rfam:Dictyocaulus viviparus strain HannoverDv2000 D_viviparus-1.0_Cont50.38, whole genome shotgun sequence.
GCAUCGGUGGUGUAAUGAAAAGCACGACAGACCGGAUAUCUGUAAGUGCGGGUUCGAGUCCCGCCUGAGAUU